GGUGGCUCAGUGGUAGAGCGCUUGUCUUGUAUCCCUGAGGCCCUGGGUUCGAUUCCCCAGCACCA
rnacentral:tRNA from 1 species